rnacentral:rRNA from 1 species
CCAUUGCAUGCCUAGUACGGCGAGUGAGCGGCAACAGCUCAAAUUUGAAAGCUGGCUCCGGCCCGCGUUGUAAUUUGCAGAGGAUGCUUUUGGCGAGGUGCCUUCCGAGUUCCCUGGAACGGGACGCCAUAGAGGGUGAGAGCCCCGUAUGGAUGGACACCAGACCUGUGUAAAGCUCCUUCAACGAGUCGAGUAGUUUGGGAAUGCUGCUCUAAAUGGGAGGUAAAUCUCUUCUAAAGCUAAAUACCGGCCAGAGACCGAUAGCGCACAAGUAGAGUGAUCGAAAGAUGAAAAGCACCUUGAAAAGGGGGUUAAACAGUACGUGAAAUUGUUGAAAGGGAAGCGCUUGUGACCAGACUUGCGCCGGGCAGCUCAUCAGGGGUUCUCCCCUGUGCACUCUGCCCGGCUCAGGCCAGCAUCGGUUCUCGUGGGAGGAUAAGAACAGUGGGAACGUGGCCCCCUCUCGGGGGGGUGUUAUAGCCCAUUGUACGAUACUCUCGUGGGGACCGAGGUUCGCGCUCCGCAAGGAUGCUGGCGUAAUGGUCAUCAGCGACCCGUCUGA